CAAGCGGUGUGUGUUCUACCGCAGGAGG
rnacentral:sRNA from 1 species